AAAGGAGAGCGGCCGGUGCCAAGUCCGGCCCGCCGAGCACGGCGCGGCGCGGUGCGAGCGCCGCCGGGGCUGAGCCGCCCGCCCCAGGCCGGCUCUCCGCAGAGCCAGGCACAGAAAAUGGGUAAUAACUGAAGAUGACCUCACAGCAGGAAAGUGAGAUGACAUUGGCAAUGCAUCAGUGAGUGGCAUGAUUGAAGAUGACAAAAAGCAGGCUACAGCAAAAGAAGAGUAACAUGACUGUGGGAGAGUGGUCUCUAAACUACCAGGACAAAGCAAGGAAGCCUUUAUUGGGACUAUCUUGAAAUUCCACAAAGAAGUCCUGUCACCUCCCAUCUUUGUCUAUGAAGUUAUUAGCUGUGUCUCCUACCCUACUUCUACAAACAUCUUUACCUAGAGGAAGCAACAGAAAUGUAAUUAAAUCAUCAUUUGCCAUGGUUUAUACUAGCAACACUACUGGUUGAGUUGUGUCUUUCACAGUAAACCUGUAAACCAGAAAAAGGCCAAAGAACUUGCACUUAGAAUCAGAAAAAUCGCUUUCCACAGAAGUAGGUGAUUUGGUCCAUCAGGAAACAAGUGUGGCUUUGGUCUUUCCAUUCCACUUUCUAUUGUGAUCUCUGCCAGUGACAGAGAAGUUUAUGACAGCGAUGGUACAUUGCUAUGGGCACGUCACUCACGCAUUAACCAUUUCAGAACCUAAUUCAGAUGCAUGAAAUCCCAUUUUCUGCUAAAUUAUCAGCAACCACUAAUAUAACCAAGAGUUUAAACUUAUGUAAAAUUUACCCAUUUUUACCCAGAGGCUAGUAAGCAUAUAUUUACUGACCUCAGUCAGUACCUGGCCUUCCAGAGUGGAUUGUAACACCCUUAUAGCCUUUCUUUAUCUGGCUUUAUAGGUUUUUGUCUGCCUCUGUAUUAUUAUACUUAUUUUCCAUCCUUUAAUGCCACAUGUCAUUUUGGGUUUUUUAACAUUCUUAGAGUAAUUUGAGAGACUUUACCUUUAUCCUUUACCACCUUUUUUUUUCUGCCUGCUCCUAAAAGCAGAAGAGUCCCAGGUUUCAUGACACAAUAUGUUUAAUUUCACACACAUGACAUUGCAGUACAGCUGCUCAUAAUGAACUAAAAAGUAUGACCACUUACCUUUGUCACUGGCUCAUCUCAAUUGAUAAAAGCUGAGAGUCUUCAUUGUAUGAGUCAGGGAAGUCUAGAGAGAUGUGAACUGCAUACUUGUUGCUUCUCACAGGUUGCCCAUGGGAAUAGCACUCGUCUCUGUAGAAUAAAAAUCUGUGUUAUAGAAAUUACUCUCUCCAACAGCCUUGUUAAGUGAUGCACAGUUCUAAUACUUUGGGCUUCAAAUUAUGAUAUGUUGUAUUUGAGCUUUAUAUGUUGCAAAAACUGUGAGGAAGAACCAGUACAAACACUUGUCCUCUCAUGUCUUAGAGUCAGUAGCAGAAUAACAGUUUGUGAACAAGACAAUAAUACUCUGGGGCUCAGUUCUGCGAGCCAUAAGUAGCUGUUACUCUCCAGGUCCCAAAACAUUACUUACACCAUAACUCUGAUCAUCAAAUGAUAAAUGAAAAUUAAAAAAAGAAUGAAAUGAAAAAAAGAUCUAGGAACUCUUUCAGUGUUGGAUAGACAAAGACAUUCACUGCAGCAAGAAAUAAGAGACCAAGAGUACUCAAAACAGCAUGUAAAAUGUUUUGCAACCCCUUAUUAAGCUCUGCAUGCAUGAAAUCACAGUGAUAUAACACAGUGUUUCUCCUACAAGCUGGGAAGGAAUAGUUGUUAUUGCCAUUUUCAUACACUUAAGGAGGCACCCACAAGCUUCAGUGAAGACGACCUCAUAACCUUAAAAGACAGGUUAAUAGGCACACGAAAUAUCCAGCAAGUAAUGAUUUUGUAUAUGAUCUGAAUGGAGGUAAGAUACUUCACACGUACCUGAUCU